rnacentral:lncRNA from 1 species
UGGUCUGGAGCAACAUGAAGUGAAGUGUCUUGCUCAAGGACACAAUGCACCACCAGGUAUUGAACUCAGAACUUCAUGACCAUGAACUGAACAGCCUAACCACCUAGCCACAUGCCUUCACAGCUUUGAGGAGUAGACUUACUCCCUCACCCUCUUUAACACCACUACCUGCCAUCUUGGGUACCUUUAGUGGACCCCACUUUAUUGUAGGCAUUAAGGCCAAGUCUCUUGUUUGAAGAUUCUUCUCUUCCCCCUGCCCACCAGUCUUGGAGGCCCUGUAAAGGGUGACCCACACACUGCCUUGCCUUCUGACUAAAAGAUUUAAAAAGACAAAAAACUUUGGUGUUUGACACAAAAUGCAAAGCUUUAGCACCAAGAAUUUGGCAAAGACAUGAAAGCCUCUCCUCUCCCUGCUGCCAGUUUUAUCCCAGAGAAUGGCCACUGCUUAUACACUUUGACACCAAACAGCCAAAACAGAUCCUGCAAAUAUUCCAUCUCCUAAUCACUGUGGUAUUCAUUAACCUUGACUGGAUGAAAAGUGAAAUAGACUUCGGCAAGAUUUGAACUCAGAGCUCAUAUAAUAAGAAAAAAUACCACAAGGUAUUUCUCUGAUGCCUUACCAUUUCUGCUAAUUAACGUUGUCUGGUUAUAGAUUCCCAUAUUUUUACUUCAAAUUCUGCUCAGGUCUAUUUUACCAUUUAUCUUUCUGGGAUGAAUGAAAUAAAGUCCCCCCCCCCCGCCCCAAGUAUUCUGAUUUUGUGUUUAUAUUAGAAAUUAUUAUUAUUAUUAUUAUUAUUAUUAUUAUUAUAUUAUUGAAGAUAUCGCUCAGGGUCCAAUAUUGUGAUGUUGGAGAUUGAACAUAUUGUGUGUACCAGGGAUUUGUACUGUGUGCCAAGUCCCAACAGGGACCUCAGACACGCACUACUUUAUUGUAGGAUAUUUCUAAAGUAUCCAAAUGAUGUCUGAACUUUGGUUUCCUUAAGAAAGCUUCUAUUCCAGAUCAUUCUUAUUUUCAGUGAGGUUGACUUAUCUUUUCAUCCUUUUGGGGUUGAUGAAAUAAGUACCACUGGGAUCAAUGAAAUCAAUGAACCCUCUUCUCACAGAUUUCAGGCCUUGUGCCUAUAGUAGAGAUGGUUAUUAUUAUCAUCAUCAUCAUCAUUAUUAUUAUUAAGGCAGUGAGAUGACUUAAUUGUACCUGGAAUUUUAAGGUUAAAAGCAGAGUUUGUUUUUGGACCAAACUAUAAAAAAGACAUUGUGAGCAACAGAUGUCGUCAACCAUUCAUAUAAAAAAUAUACUGAUGCUUUUGCAGAGAAGCUCCAUACUUCGUUGGGUUUGUGAGAAACUGAUGGCGUAACUUUGGAAGAGUUCAUAGGUUUUAUCCCAUGUUUUAAAUCUGUCAUUAUUGUAAAGAUUCAUCAGGCUGGCUGGUCUACCUGAUUUCCUUGCCAUAGAAGUGAUUGAGGUUACAAAACUCCCCUGGAUGGACUGUCAGUCAAUCAUGGGGUUAUCUUCCUUGCUGUUGCUGGAAUUCAUUUAUAGCUGAGUGGAACAUUGUGAAAUGAAGUGUCUUGCUCAAGAACACACUGCUCAGUUCAGGAACUGAAACCUUGACCAUAUGAUUAUGAACACAACACUCUAACCACUGGACCACACAUCUUCACAUUCUGUCACUCUUGCUUGUUUGAGUCUUCACUCUUUGCUCUCCACUCCCAAUCCACUUAAUUAUAAAUAGGUACCAUGAAGAGGUGCAGUAUACAAUUGUAUUCAUUACUGGGCUCUGUGUGUUAUGAGUGAUUAAGUGUUUCAUCAGCUUCUGGUGUUGCUAAUUUUGAAAUCCUUGUGUUAGGUAAAGUAUGAUGAAAAUGACUUUCUUCCUCUCCCAGUGGAGUGAUAUCUCCUUCAACCAUUUCACACCACCUGGUAGAUCUCCAGCGUAUCAAAUAAGCCUCAGAUAUUUUAGAAAAAUGCAUUUUGGUGAUGUGAAGGAAAAAGAACCUGCAGUAGACUAGCUUCCUUUCCAGUGGCGAUGAUGUCACAAUCUAUCAAUCCUUGAAAAUUAUUAGAAAUCCCAAGUAAGAAAAAACAAUUUAUUUCUCUAUAUUUCUAUGACAAGUUAUUACUAGAAUAGUUGAGAAUUAUUAACUUAUUCACCUCAUAUUGUGUGUUUAUAUUUUUCUACAUUGGAUUCCAUUUAAUUCAUAAAUUGUUUCAUUGUUUUUAGGUGGAAAACUAUAUUCCUCCACAUAUAAAUACACAUAUAUACAGGGUGUGGUUGAAAGACCUCCCACAUUUGCUACAUGUAGACUCCAUUUCUACCUAUCUGACUUUCUUAGUACCAUAUCAACUGCUGCAUAAAAGUGUGGGUGAAGUCAAGGCAGCUGGAAACAGAGUCUUCAUGUAGCAAAUGAGGGAGUUUCUUUUUUCCACACCCUGUAUUAAAUAAUAUAUGUACACACACACACAUUUACAUCUAUAUAUAAAUGUAUGUAUAAUAUAUGUAUAUAAUGAUCUUUUGCUUUUUACAUUUGCUAUUUUUUUGGUCUGUUUUAGCACAGCAUCUCACCAUUCAUUGCAGUUCUUCAUCCGCUUUGUGAGACUCACCAUCCAAAGAUCAAGUAUCACUUCUCACCAUGUUUUUUAUGUUCUUCUUCACUAGACUCCUUUCACUUGCCUGGAUUGACAUUUUUUUCACUCACCGAACUAUUGUUCAUUUUACACAUCAUGUCUCCAUUAAUGGCACACUCUUCUCUCUUGCACUUUCUUCUCUUUCAUACACAAAAGCUAAUGCCUCCAUUUCCCAGUUUUUCUCUCACCACACUUCUGCUUUGUUAUUCAGACAUGCAAACAUUUACACAUCCAACAGUGCAAGCUCACCUCAUCUCUUUCCAUCGUUCGCAACAUUCCCCACAUCCAAUGCAUGUACAUAAACAUCAUACAAUAUGCCCUUCACUUAGAGAAUCCCUUUGUUGACAGCAGAGGUAAUAGCUCCCUAAACCUUUUCUACUGAUCUUUACUCUGGCUUUUCCAACAUUCAUCUCCUUUACUAAUUUUGUUGCCUGGUUAACAGAAGCUUUCAACUGCCUCUUACUAGACUUCUAAGCAUUUGAAAAAUCUCCCUUUCUUAGGUUCCAUUACUGCUAAUUAUUGCUGUGUAUUUAUUGUUCCUUACAAAAAUCCUUUUCUGUCAACCUUCCUCAGACCUCACUUCAGUUUUUGUGUAGUAUUGCUAGUGUGUAGUAAUUGCUAUUACAUUAUAGAGUUCCUGCUUGCUUCCUUUUUGCAUAUUGAGUAUGACCAGUUCCUAGUUGAUACUAGUGUUCUGUUUUCUUUUCUGCUAAUGAAGAAUAUCAUCUUUGGUUAAUUGCUCUUCUUUGGCUCUCCUGAUUCUUGAUGUUGCUUCCAUGUUUUUAAUAUUUCUUCUAAUACUUUGACCGAUUUGGUUAUGAGAACCGGAACAUUGACUACAGACAGUCUUGAAACCCUCUUUUAUUGACUGGAGGGAACUGCAAUAAAUAGGAAGCGACUGAGGACUAAGCCCCAAUGGACACCAAUCUGCACACCUUAACGAACGUAUGUCCCAUUCUUACUUUCUUGGUAACACACCUGUACAUGGCAUGCAUUGCUUUUGCAAACUAUUCGACGACACUCAGACAAGGAAGUAUGCUAUUCUACCAGAAGCUCUCUCCAACUCCCUGAUGCUUGCUGGUUUGUAUUUUGACUAAGAACUUCAGUAUUCUUAAAGGAGAAUGGCAAUUCCUCAUCAUAACAGAAAUCCAAACCUACAUCUGGUUUAGCUCUACCAUAACUCUCUCUCUCUCUCUCUCUCUCUCCUACUUUCUUCAUCAAUUUCUUGUUUCUUGGCUGCUUCUUUUAAAGCAUCUCCCUGGCCCUUGCAGCUGUUCACAAUGAUGCCGCUACCCCAGCCAAAGCCAAUCCAUUACUGCACCUGUCUCCACACCCCUUCAUUAACUGUGCAAGUAAUCUGAAUAUCUCUUUUGCCUUUUACUUUUUUCAGUCAUUGAACCAUGGCCAUGCUGGUGUACCACCUGGAAGUGUUUUAGUCAAACAAAUCCCCCCACUGCCUGUACUUGUGUUUUUUUUAAGCCUGAAUAUAAAUAAGGAGGACAUUGCAUGGCAGAGCAUCGGUCUCAACUAAAACCAAACCAAACCUGAAAUUACUCCCCCAUCCCCACCAUGUUAAAAAAUAAUGAUGUCACUAAAAAUGUGAGAAUUGAGGGAAAAAUCUGCAUUUCUGUGAUAAAGCGCAAUGUCUGACCUCCUUUGUAAUAUUUCUUGUCUAUAAAGUUGUUUCUGUCAUUUAAAAA